GCUUAGAGGAGUCAGUGUAAAGGGAAGGCUUAGGAAGCGUCGGUUCUGGAGAGUAGAGAAUUACGUCUUCUCCUCUACCCCUCCAGGCACCUUCUUUUUUUCUUUUUUUAAACAACCUUUUAUUUAAAAGUCUAACCUUGGGAGUUUGCUGGGGAGAAGAAACUCAGUGAAUAUUGUCUGGUUUCCUGAUGCUUCUGCCGAUUGAUGACACUUGCCCAUGCUGCUCAUAUUUCCUGAGUCAACACGACCACUCCUAACUUUGAAGUGACAGUAGAUUCUAUGUUAGGGUGUGUCUAAAAGAAAGAAGAGAAACAUUUCAGUGAUGUUGUAGGUAUCCUGUACUGUUGAAGGCAGGUGAUUACCAUCUCCCACUGAUUCACAGAGACCAAACUCCAGUUGUAGUGUUGGCUGAGAUGCUGCUACCCAGCCUUCCUUAGCCUUCUGGAGCCUUCUGAGGUCUGCAGGGAUAUUUGCAUGAAGCAGGUACAUUCAGAUGGAUGGCAAUGGCUCUGAUCUUUAAUAUCACACUAUCUCCCUGGCCUUCAAGUUCAUAACGGGAGGAAUGAGAGAGAUGAACAGAGUGGCUCUAAGAUGUCAGAGAGAUCUAAUAGCCAAAGUUACGUCCUCUCUCACCAAUUGUCAUUGAGAAGUGGAGCUGCCCAGAUAUUUUGUUCGAUUAAGUGAGAGCAUGAAGAUGGGCAGAGUGAACGUGGAAGAAAAUGCUGUACUACGCUGUACUCCAAAGAGCAGCAGAUGCAUCUCCUCCUUGCUUCCUUCUAUACCUGGUCAUAUUCUGAAACACACAUGGGUUUUGACCCCACAUCUGCAUCUUGGAUCUUGGACUUGCAGAAUCUACAUUAAAGAUGUUCCUUGCUGCACUGGAAAUCUGGACACUCUCUCAAAGCUCACCAGUAAGUCUCAUCAAAUAAAUGGUGGCAUAUUCAGGUUUUGGAUCUCUAGGAAGCCCCUGCAAACAAGUUUGAAAUGUGCACAAUGAUGCCCCUGUGAGUCCCUCCUUCCUUUCUCUUCACCAGGCUUGCUAUUAUUCUUGUCAUUCUCUUCUAUUUAGGGACACUUUUUUUUGAGGUGGGAGGAUUAGUCACUCUAAUGAGGUGAUGAAGAUUAGGAGAUUUGGCAACUACAUGGACCAGACUCUGCAACUACCCGGUCCAGACCCAGGGUUAUGGGUUGACCUACCCCAACAUUCACCCCAUCUGUGUUCUGCUAGAGCAUGGGGUGGGGGAAAGGGAGGUGAGGGGUGGGGGUAUCAAUCCUGUGGACCCAAGGCUGCAGGAUCUCCAUGACACAGGGCAUCAGUAGGAUACACAGGAAGAGUCCCAGUGAGGGCCCAGCAUCUGUGGUGCAGCAGAGACCAGGGGCCUCGAAUUAGAUCAAAGAUUCUUUUUGAUAAAUGCCUGCAUGUAAAAAUAUACGGACAAAAGGGUUUACUGUGUGACUCACUGUGUCAUACUGCAGCUUCCAUGAUGAGAUUGUCCUCUUCUUUCUCUUCCCUUUUUUCUCUUAAAUUUUAUUUUGGGGUAGGGUGGGAGAUAGGUGGAGAUGGAAGGCAUGUUUCGAAAGACACAAAGAAUUAAAAAAAAAAGAAAAGAACCGGGCCUUGAUGGGAAGAAACCCAACAUGGCGCCCGGUGGAAAAAAGCACAGAGCACGAACAACCUCCUUUCUCAUAUUUGCGAUACCUGUGUUCUCACUCCUCUGGAGAGACGAAGGGGUGACAUGGGUAUGACAUUAGAACAGAGUCUGCCAAGUGUCACUGUCACUUAUGUAUCUCAGUGACAGCAAAGAGAAUGACUGCCUGUAAGGAGAAACUGAUGUGAAGCCUUCAACUGGGGUGGGGGCGGGGGGCAUGAAGACUAGUCAAAAAAAAACUUCAUGUCUUUCAGUUUGAAAAUUUUCUGGUUCAGUAAAAUGACAAUUGGAUUUUGUUCCACUUUUUUUUUUAAAUCUAAAGUAUUUUUCCCUCAUUACUGAUGGAGUGUUGUAGGUAAGUGUCUGAAAAACGUACUGUAUGUGUGAACUAGUUGAAACUUUCUCCCCAUGCUGUAAAGACUCUGUACACGUAAUUCAGAUCUGGGCCUACAUGGGAUUUCUUACAAGAAACACAGAAAUCAACUACCCGGCAGAACGAGUUCUAUUUCAGUCAUGUCUGAAUUCUGCUUUUGGCUAGAGCUGACACCAACUUGAGUGCUGACAUCGAAGCCCUGGUUAGCAGGUGGCGGAUGACAUGAUGUAGAUGCUGCCUAUGGAAGCUGUGCACUUCCUCAAGCCUAGGAUAGGAAAAAACAGAGGACCCCAAAUUCCCAUCUUUCCUGAGACUGCUAUGCUAACAGGCCCAGUGUGAAUCUGCCAAGGCCCUGUGUUUGGCUCAGACAAGGUGGUCAGAGAGCCUGUAUCUCCUGCGCUUGUCUCCAGCCGUGGUUGUCUGGAUCUUUGCUGGGCCUCUAGUUCCACAGCCCAGCAUCAGGACUACUAAGUUUUCACUCAUACUUUUGGCCUUGCGGUUAAAACAAGCAAGCAAACAAACAAAUAAACAAACAAGCAGGAAUUCCUGGGGAACAGCUCUUACAAGCAUUUUAGCUUAGCUGUUCCCCUCCUAAAGUAUUUUGGGGCAGAUAAGCCCACACAAGUGUCUUGUUUGAUUUCACACAGGUCCAGGGUCUUCGGUGUCAACUGUGUAUGCUGUGGUAUGGCCACUCUGAUCCAUCCGGGAAGAAAAGGGCUGAGUCUGUCUCCACAUGCGAGGAAUUCACAAUUAGAUGGAAAUAUCCUGCUACCACUUACUGAUGACCUCAACCUGCAGCCGGCAGAAGGCAGAGACUAGAUUCUGCACAUGUGCUCCAUCUAAUUGUGCGUGUGUGUUUUCUCUAAUAAAACAGAAAAGUCCAGGAAACAAUGGCACAAUCCCCCCCCACCUCUACAGCACCCCCACGUGAAACCCAGACUAUAUUAUUCCCUUUUAUUAGCUCUUGAUGAAUGAUAUAGUUUCUUACAUGGGUGGAAGUAGUGACAAAUGGUUUUGGUGCUAUAUACAAAUAAAUUUAAUAAAAAGGCUGUCUCUUCUA